rnacentral:rRNA from 1 species
GGUAAAGCUGGGAACUCUGGGGAGACUGCCGGUGAUAAACCGGAGGAAGCGGGGAUGACGUCAAGUCCUCAUGGCCCUUACAUCCCGGGCUACACACGUGCUACAAUGGCAGGUACAGAGGGCUGCGAAGCCGCGAGGUGGAGCGAGUCCCAGAAAACCUGUCUCAGUCCGGAUUGAAGUCUGCAACUCGACUUCAUGAAGGCGGAAUCGCUAGUAACCGCGAAUCAGCAGGUCGCGGUGAAUACGUUCCCGGGCCUU